UGAUAGAUUAAAACAAUCUUUACCAUUCAGUAAUAACAAGCACUUUUUUACAUUUUAAUAUUUUAUGAUGUAUUUAAAUGAGUAGUUAUUGUUGCAAACUUCAUUAGAAAUUUGAAUUGAGAUCAGUUUUGAAAUAAGGGAAAGGGGGAUGUGAAAAAAAAAUUGGGGGGUCAAUUUUUUUCAUUUCAGAUUUCAUAAAUAAAAAGAAAAUUUCUUCAAACAUUUUUUUGAGAGGAUUAAUAUUCAACAGCAUAGUGAAUUGUUCAAA
rnacentral:lncRNA from 1 species